GACGAACGCUGGCGGCGUGCUUAACACAUGCAAGUCGAACGGUGAAGCUCCAGCUUGCUGGAGUGGAUCAGUGGCGAACGGGUGAGUAACACGUGAGCAACCUGCCCCUGACUCUGGAAUAAGCGCUGGAAACGGCGUCUAAUACUGGAUACGAGAAGGGUCCGCAUGGGCACCUUCUGGAAAGUUUUUCGGUUGGGGAUGGGCUCGCGGCCUAUCAGCUUGUUGGUGAGGUAAUGGCUCACGAAGGCGACGACGGGUAGCCGGCCUGAGAGGGCGACCGGCCACACUGGGACUGAGACACGGCCCAGACUCCUACGGGAGGCAGCAGUGGGGAAUAUUGCACAAUGGGCGAAAGCCUGAUGCAGCGACGCCGCGUGAGGGAUGACGGCCUUCGGGUUGUAAACCUCUUUCAGCAGGGAAGAAGCGAAAGUGACGGUACCUGCAGAAGAAGCACCGGCUAACUACGUG
rnacentral:rRNA from 1 species